CAAUGUGACUUGCAGGCUCCAUACUUGAGUUUAAGGUCUCUGGUGAGCUCAUUCUGGGUUUGUUCCAGCUCCUGGCGCUCAUUGAUGUGCGCUUCCUGGAUGUCGUGGAUUUCCGCCUUCACUGCCUGCAGUUUGGCAAACAACUGGGGAGAAAAGGAAGACGCACAUACCAGGAUUGGCAACCAUAAAGUUACCGGUGAGGAGAGCAGUGGGCAGCAGCAGUGGCCACGACUGGGAAUCAUUUUUGGUGAUUCAAUCCCCAAUUCCAACCCUGAGUGCCAAGCAGGGAGGUAAUGGGUCCCAUUUUUAUAGUCUUCGGUAUGACU